rnacentral:lncRNA from 1 species
UUCCCUGUCACAUUUAGUUCCUGGUGCUGAGAGAACGCGGUCUCCUACCCAAAGUCAGCUCCACGCCUACUCGUCUUCAACUAGUGCGUGAGUAAUUCACCGAGUUCUGGUGGGAAGGGAGUAGACUGGUUAGCAGAGAAAUCUCGAGUACUUCCCAAAUCUGAAGAGAAGGUACAGGAAAACCUCCGGGUUGAGCACAGACCAGAAGGAACUGGGAAGUCAUUGCUGGAAAGAAAUUAGACAUGCUUCUCCCCGCAAACUGAAGUUCCAUGAACACUCGGUUGCCACCCUACAAUUUAUUGUCAUCCCUACUUGUAACUCUAACCUAACAAUGUGUCAUCCUUACUUUUCAUGUUAUUUAUUUACAAGUGCAUUUUCAGUAUCAACCCCUUCAUUCAUUAAUCCUAAUGUGGCCUUUUCCAAUGUCUACUUACCAUUUUAAAUACUUACUAUAAUUUACAGGGCUUUCUUGAACACAUCCAAGGUAUAUUAUAUGGGGCUAGCUUAAUGGAAAGUCUUGUAUACCAAAGCAGGAAAAAAACACAUUUAAUUUAUGAUGGCUUUGAAUUUUGAUCAUAAUUUACUCAUGGAGAGCUAUUCAUACAAAGCAAUACCAUACAAUUUUUCAGAAGCAAUCAAAAAGUAAAACAAUAAA